AGAAAUAACUGAAAAGAUCGAGGAUCUGACCACUCAUUUUCACCUACAAACUGACCCUGGGCUCCUUGUGUGUCAAGAUCAUCUUUUACUUCAGAAGUGCAGAAUUGGAGGAUGUU
rnacentral:lncRNA from 7 species